GACGAACGCUGGCGGCGUGCUUAACACAUGCAAGUCGAACGGAAAGGCCCUGCUUUUGUGGGGUGCUCGAGUGGCGAACGGGUGAGUAACACGUGAGUAACCUGCCCUUGACUUUGGGAUAACUUCAGGAAACUGGGGCUAAUACCGGAUAGGAGCUCCUGCUGCAUGGUGGGGGUUGGAAAGUUUCGGCGGUUGGGGAUGGACUCGCGGCUUAUCAGCUUGUUGGUGGGGUAGUGGCUUACCAAGGCUUUGACGGGUAGCCGGCCUGAGAGGGUGACCGGCCACAUGGGGACUGAGAUACGGCCCAGACUGCUACGGGAGGCAGCAGUGGGGAAUAUUGCACAAUGAGCGGAAGCCUGAUGCAGCAACGCCGCGUGCGGGAUGACGGCCUUCGGGUUGUAAAACGCUUUCGCCUGUGACGAAGCGUGAGUGACGGUAAUGGAUAAAGAAGCACCGGCUAACUACGUG
rnacentral:rRNA from 1 species